rnacentral:rRNA from 1 species
UCCGUAGGUGAACCUGCGGAGGGAUCAUUACACAAUAUGAAGGCGGGCUGGA